rnacentral:rRNA from 1 species
UACGUAGAUGGCAAGCGUUGUCCGGAUUUAUUGGGUUUAAAGGGUGCGUAGGUGGUUUUUUAAGUCAGUGCUGAAAUAUCCCGGCUUAACCGGGAGGGUGGCAUUGAUACUGAAAGACUUGAGUAAAGUUGAGGUGGGCGGAAUUGACGGUGUAGCGGUGAAAUGCUUAGAUAUCGUCAAGAACACCUAUUGCGAAGGCAGCUCACUAAGCUUUAACUGACACUGAGGCACGAAAGUGUGGGGAUCAAACAGG